GACGAACGCUGGCGGCGUGCUUAACACAUGCAAGUCGAGCGGUAAGGCCCUUCGGGGUACACGAGCGGCGAACGGGUGAGUAACACGUGAGUAAUCUGCCCAUCACUUCGGGAUAACUCCGGGAAACCGGUGCUAAUACCGAAUAUGACCACUUCAGGCAUCUGAUGGUGGUGGAAAGUUCCGGCGGUGAUGGAUGAGCUCGCGGCCUAUCAGCUUGUUGGUGGGGUAGUGGCCUACCAAGGCUUCGACGGGUAGCCGGCCUGAGAGGGUGACCGGCCACACUGGGACUGAGACACGGCCCAGACUCCUACGGGAGGCAGCAGUGGGGAAUAUUGGACAAUGGGCGAAAGCCUGAUCCAGCAACGCCGCGUGAGGGAUGACGGCCUUCGGGUGGUAAACCUCUUUCAGCAGGGACGAAGCGCAAGUGACGGUACCUGCAGAAGAAGCACCGGCCAACUACGU
rnacentral:rRNA from 1 species